ACGGAGUUACAAAGGACGACAUUAGACGAAUCAUCUGGAAAGAUGAAUCAAAGAAGGUAAUAAUCCUGUAGUCGAAAAUGUUGUCUCUCUUGAGUGGAUCCUGAGUACGACGGAGCACGUGAAAUUCCGUCGGAAUCUGGGAGGACCAUCUCCUAAGGCUAAAUACUCUCUAGUGACCGAUAGUGAACCAGUACCGUGAGGGAAAGGUGAAAAGCACCCCGGAAGGGGAGUGAAAUAGAACCUGAAACCGUGUGCUUACAAGUAGUCAGAGCCCGUUAAUGGGUGAUGGCGUGCCUUUUGUAGAAUGAACCGGCGAGUUACGAUUUGAUGCAAGGUUAAGCAGUAAAUGUGGAGCCGUAGCGAAAGCGAGUCUGAAUAGGGCGUUUAGUAUUUGGUCGUAGACCCGAAACCAGGUGAUCUACCCUUGGUCAGGUUGAAGUUCAGGUAACACUGAAUGGAGGACCGAACCGACUUACGUUGAAAAGUGAGCGGAUGAACUGAGGGUAGCGGAGAAAUUCCAAUCGAACCUGGAGAUAGCUGGUUCUCUCCGAAAUAGCUUUAGGGCUAGCCUCAAGUGAUGAUUAUUGGAGGUAGAGCACUGUUUGGACGAGGGGCCCCUCUCGGGUUACCGAAUUCAGACAAACUCCGAAUGCCAAUUAAUUUAACUUGGGAGUCAGAACAUGGGUGAUAAGGUCCGUGUUCGAAAGGGAAACAGCCCAGACCACCAGCUAAGGUCCCAAAAUAUAUGUUAAGUGGAAAAGGAUGUGGCGUUGCCCAGACAACUAGGAUGUUGGCUUAGAAGCAGCCAUCAUUUAAAGAGUGCGUAAUAGCUCACUAGUCGAGUGACACUGCGCCGAAAAUGUACCGGGGCUAAACAUAUUACCGAAGCUGUGGAUUGUCCUUUGGACAAUGGUAGGAGAGCGUUCUAAGGGCGUUGAAGCAUGAUCGUAAGGACAUGUGGAGCGCUUAGAAGUGAGAAUGCCGGUGUGAGUAGCGAAAGACGGGUGAGAAUCCCGUCCACCGAUUGACUAAGGUUUCCAGAGGAAGGCUCGUCCGCUCUGGGUUAGUCGGGUCCUAAGCUGAGGCCGACAGGCGUAGGCGAUGGAUAACAGGUUGAUAUUCCUGUACCACCUAUAAUCGUUUUAAUCGAUGGGGGGACGCAGUAGGAUAGGCGAAGCGUGCGAUUGGAUUGCACGUCUAAGCAGUAAGGCUGAGUAUUAGGCAAAUCCGGUACUCGUUAAGGCUGAGCUGUGAUGGGGAGAAGACAUUGUGUCUUCGAGUCGUUGAUUUCACACUGCCGAGAAAAGCCUCUAGAUAGAAAAUAGGUGCCCGUACCGCAAACCGACACAGGUAGUCAAGAUGAGAAUUCUAAGGUGAGCGAGCGAACUCUCGUUAAGGAACUCGGCAAAAUGACCCCGUAACUUCGGGAGAAGGGGUGCUCUUUAGGGUUAACGCCCAGAAGAGCCGCAGUGAAUAGGCCCAAGCGACUGUUUAUCAAAAACACAGGUCUCUGCUAAACCGUAAGGUGAUGUAUAGGGGCUGACGCCUGCCCGGUGCUGGAAGGUUAAGAGGAGUGGUUAGCUUCUGCGAAGCUACGAAUCGAAGCCCCAGUAAACGGCGGCCGUAACUAUAACGGUCCUAAGGUAGCGAAAUUCCUUGUCGGGUAAGUUCCGACCCGCACGAAAGGCGUAACGAUUUGGGCACUGUCUCAACGAGAGACUCGGUGAAAUCAUAGUACCUGUGAAGAUGCAGGUUACCCGCGACAGGACGGAAAGACCCCGUGGAGCUUUACUGUAGCCUGAUAUUGAAAUUCGGCACAGCUUGUACAGGAUAGGUAGGAGCCUUUGAAACGUGAGCGCUAGCUUACGUGGAGGCGCUGGUGGGAUACUACCCUAGCUGUGUUGGCUUUCUAACCCGCACCACUUAUCGUGGUGGGAGACAGUGUCAGGCGGGCAGUUUGACUGGGGCGGUCGCCUCCUAAAAGGUAACGGAGGCGCUCAAAGGUUCCCUCAGAAUGGUUGGAAAUCAUUCAUAGAGUGUAAAGGCAUAAGGGAGCUUGACUGCGAGACCUACAAGUCGAGCAGGGUCGAAAGACGGACUUAGUGAUCCGGUGGUUCCGCAUGGAAGGGCCAUCGCUCAACGGAUAAAAGCUACCCCGGGGAUAACAGGCUUAUCUCCCCCAAGAGUUCACAUCGACGGGGAGGUUUGGCACCUCGAUGUCGGCUCAUCGCAUCCUGGGGCUGUAGUCGGUCCCAAGGGUUGGGCUGUUCGCCCAUUAAAGCGGUACGCGAGCUGGGUUCAGAACGUCGUGAGACAGUUCGGUCCCUAUCCGUCGUGGGCGUAGGAAAUUUGAGAGGAGCUGUCCUUAGUACGAGAGGACCGGGAUGGACAUACCUCUGGUGUACCAGUUGUCGUGCCAACGGCAUAGCUGGGUAGCUAUGUGUGGACGGGAUAAGUGCUGAAAGCAUCUAAGCAUGAAGCCCCCCUCAAGAUGAGAUUUCCCAACUUCGGUUAUAAGAUCCCUCAAAGAUGAUGAGGUUAAUAGGUUCGAGGUGGAAGCAUGGUGACAUGUGGAGCUGACGAAUACUAAUCGAUCGAAGACUUAAUCAA
rnacentral:rRNA from 1 species